CCUUUCCGAGCUAGCCCCCAUGCGGUAUAAAAAAAAGAAUCGUACGGUGCUGCCAGGAGCUCGGAAACGGGAGAAUCCCGCAACACGCAAGUGAGUCACGCGUACGUGCGCGGCUAUCACUUCUUUACACACACAUACAUACACAUACUCACAUGUAUAUAAGAGAGAACGGAACCGACACCAACAUGACGACUACGACGACGACGCACAACGACGUUUUUCUCCCCUCCAGCCCCUUCUUCGUCUUCUUCUUCUUCUCUUAGCGGCCCACCCAACCGAAGUAAUGUCGACAACGUUCUUUACUCCCCUCUCUCUCUCUCUCUCUCUCUCUCCUACCAAUAAUUUCCCCUACUUUUGCUUUUGCUUUGCUUUACUUUGCUUUGCUUUGCUUUGCCAGCAGCAAGCAAAGCAACCGAAGCGCCUACGGUCACCACGAGGGAGACCCCUGAUCUCUCCUCUCUUCUCGCUUGGUUUCGUUUGGCUUGGCUCAAACUUGGCGUUGGGCUUAGAGCUUGGCGUUGGCUUCUUUUCUUCCCCACCACAAUAACAAGCAAGCGUACUCUCUCUACUAGGUCUAACACAUCACCACCAUUACCAACACGGUGAAACAUACCAACAAAACUAGUAGUAGUCACAGGAUAAGUAAUGAAACCAGUGUAUGUAUUAUUAUAACUUACAGACUUCUCGUUGAGAGGAGAGAACACACGUGUAUUUAUACGCAAAUCCCACUAAUGAUUGAUUCUUUCUUACAGCAUACAACAGCAGCAGCAGCAGCAGCAACAGUUGUAGAAGUAGAAGAGGAAAGCAAAACAAAGCAAAACAAUGUAGCAGAAAGCAAGCAAGCAAGCAAAAGGCACGAUAGAGAAAACGAUUGGGUCAGACACCUCAUGAACGUCUACCUACUACUACUAGCCGUGUCUACCACGUUGUUAGAGUGUCUACUAUGUUGUCCCUAGGACGUUCACGGCCGUGAUAAAGAAGAAAAAAAUAAAAUGGCGGAUUUUUGAAUGAAAGGAUGAAUUAAUCUUGACUGACUUCGAAAAUGGAACCACCACACUCGGAUAAAACGUUUCUAAUACGCUUUCACGAAGUUAUAAUAUUUGUGUUAUAAAAUUAAUUAGUAUUUUUUAUUUUACAGGUGAUGAAAAAGAAAAAAAUAAAAUGGCGAAUCUUUGAAUGAAAGGAUGAAUUAAUCUUGACUGACUUCGAAAAUGGAACCACCACACUCGGAUAAAACGUUUCUAAUACGCUUUCACGAAGUUAUAAUAUUUGUGUUUUGAAUUCCCCUUCUGAGAAUACUCGAAGGUAUUACAUAAUAUUUAAG